UACGGGGGGGGUAAGCGUUGUUCGGAAUUACUGGGCGUAAAGGGCUCGUAGGCGGCCAACUAAGUCAGACGUGAAAUCCCUCAGCUCAACCGGGGAACGACGCAUGAAACUGGCAAGCUAGAGUACCAAAGAGGGCGGUGGAAUUCCCGGUGUAGCGGUGAAAUGCGUAGAUAUCUGGAGGAAUACCGGUGGCGAAGGCGGCAUCCUGGACCGACAUUGACGCUGAUGAGCGAAAGCCAGGGGAGCAAACGGGG
rnacentral:rRNA from 1 species